rnacentral:rRNA from 1 species
CCUACGGGUGGCAGCAGUGGGGAAUAUUGCACAAUGGGGGAAACUCUGAUGCAGCGACGCCGCGUGAGUGAAGAAGUCUUUCUGUAUGUAAAGCUCUAUUAGCAGGGGAGAAAAUGACGGUACCCGACUAUGACGCCCCGGCUAACUCUGGGCCAGCAGCCCCGGUAACAUGCAGGGGGCAAGCGUUAUCCGGAUUUACUGGGUGUAAGGGGGGCGUAGACGGGGGAACAAGUCAGAAGUGAAACCCCGGGGCUCAACCCUGGGAGUGCUUUUGAAACUGUUUGGCUGGAGUGCAGGAGAGGUAAGCGGAAUUCCUAGUGUAGCGGUGAAAUGCGUAGAUAUUAGGAAGAACACCAGUGGCGAAGGCGGCUUACUGGACUGUAACUGACGUUGAGGCUCGAAAGCGUGGGGAGCAAACAGGAUUAGAUACCCGGGUAGUC